rnacentral:tRNA from 1 species
AAGCUUGUGGCUCAGCUGGUUAGAGCGUGCGCCUGAUAAGCGCAAGGGCGGUAGUUCAAAUCUACUUAGGCUUA